rnacentral:misc_RNA from 1 species
GAUGAAGAACGUAGCGAAAUGCGAUAAGUAAUGUGAAUUGCAGAAUUCAGUGAAUCAUCGAAUCUUUGAACGCACAUUGCGCCCGGCAGUACUCUGCCGGGCAUGCCUGUUCGAGCGUCAUUUCAACCCUCAAGCCCUGCUUGGUGUUGGGGUCCCACGGCCGCCGUGGGCCCUGAAAGGAAGUGGCGGGCUCGCUACAACUCCGAGCGUAGUAAUUCAUUAUCUCGCUUAGGGCGUUGGGCGGCGCUCCUGCCGUUAAAGAACCCUCUUUAACUCAAGGUUGACCUCGGAUCAGGUAGGAAUACCCGCUGAACUUAAGCAUAUCAAUAAGCGGAGGA